rnacentral:rRNA from 1 species
GACGAACGCUGGCGGCGUGCUUAACACAUGCAAGUCGAACGGAAAGGCCCUGCUUUUGUGGGGUGCUCGAGUGGCGAACGGGUGAGUAACACGUGAGUAACCUGCCCUUGACUUUGGGAUAACUUCAGGAAACUGGGGCUAAUACCGGAUAGGAGCUCCUGCUGCAUGGUGGGGGUUGGAAAGUUUCGGCGGUUGGGGAUGGACUCGCGGCUUAUCAGCUUGUUGGUGGGGUAGUGGCUUACCAAGGCUUUGACGGGUAGCCGGCCUGAGAGGGUGACCGGCCACAUUGGGACUGAGAUACGGCCCAGACUCCUACGGGAGGCAGCAGUGGGGAAUAUUGCACAAUGGGCGGAAGCCUGAUGCAGCAACGCCGCGUGCGGGAUGACGGCCUUCGGGUUGUAAACCGCUUUCGCCUGUGACGAAGCGUGAGUGACGGUAAUGGGUAAAGAAGCACCGGCUAACUACGUGCCAGCAGCCGCGGUGAUACGUAGGGUGCGAGCGUUGUCCGGAUUUAUUGGGCGUAAAGGGCUCGUAGGUGGUUGAUCGCGUCGGAAGUGUAAUCUUGGGGCUUAACCCUGAGCGUGCUUUCGAUACGGGUUGACUUGAGGAAGGUAGGGGAGAAUGGAAUUCCUGGUGGAGCGGUGGAAUGCGCAGAUAUCAGGAGGAACACCAGUGGCGAAGGCGGUUCUCUGGGCCUUUCCUGACGCUGAGGAGCGAAAGCGUGGGGAGCGAACAGGCUUAGAUACCCUGGUAGUCCACGCUGUAAACGGUGGGUACUAGGUGUGGGGUCCAUUCCACGGGUUCCGUGCCGUAGCUAACGCUUUAAGUACCCCGCCUGGGGAGUACGGCCGCAAGGCUAAAACUCAAAGGAAUUGACGGGGCCCCGCACAAGCGGCGGAGCAUGCGGAUUAAUUCGAUGCAACGCGUAGAACCUUACCUGGGUUUGACAUGGAUCGGGAGCGCUCAGAGAUGGGUGUGCCUCUUUUGGGGUCGGUUCACAGGUGGUGCAUGGCUAUCGUCAGCUCGUGUCGUGAGAUGUUGGGUUAAGUCCCGCAACGAGCGCAACCCUUGUUCACUGUUGCCAGCACGUUAUGGUGGGGACUCAGUGGAGACCGCCGGGGUCAACUCGGAGGAAGGUGGGGAUGACGUCAAGUCAUCAUGCCCCUUAUGUCCAGGGCUUCACGCAUGCUACAAUGGCUGGUACAGAGAGUGGCGAGCCUGUGAGGGUGAGCGAAUCUCGGAAAGCCGGUCUCAGUUCGGAUUGGGGUCUGCAACUCGACCUCAUGAAGUCGGAGUCGCUAGUAAUCGCAGAUCAGCAACGCUGCGGUGAAUACGUUCCCGGG